rnacentral:rRNA from 1 species
UACGAAGGGGGCUAGCGUUGCUCGGAAUCACUGGGCGUAAAGGGCGCGUAGGCGGCAAAUCAAGUCAGCUGUGAAAUCUCCGAGCUUAACUCGGAACGGUCAGCUGAUACUGUUUUGCUAGAGUACAGAAGGGGCAAUCGGAAUUCUUGGUGUAGCGGUGAAAUGCGUAGAUAUCAAGAGGAACACCUGAGGUGAAGACGGGUUGCUGGGCUGAUACUGACGCUGAGGCGCGAAAGCUAGGGUAGCAAACGGG